GUCUUCUUAUGAGAAAUACAUAAAUCGUUUAAAACUCAUUAAAGCCCAAAAACUCAGAACUAUCAAUCAUUUUAUAGUUAUUUCUACAAGUCUUCAUGUAUUUGUUUUAAAGGUCCGGUAAGAGCAACAAGUUUAAAAAUAAAAAUAAAAACCUAUAACAAACAUAAUAAGGAUAAUAAAAAUUAUUACUUAAUACACA
rnacentral:lncRNA from 1 species